rnacentral:tRNA from 1 species
GGGCCUGUAGUCUAGCGGCUACACUUCGGUGCCGUAAAUGACGUCGCCUUCACACGGCGGAGGUCCCCGGUUCAAGUCCGGGCGGGCCCA